rnacentral:rRNA from 1 species
AUGAACGCUGGCGGCGUGCCUCAUACAUGCAAGUCGAGCGAACGGACGAGAAGCUUGCUUCUCUGAUGUUAGCGGCGGCCGGGUGAGUAACACGUGGAUAACCUACCUAUAAGACUGGGAUAACUUCGGGAAACCGGAGCUAAUACCGGAUAAUAUUUUGAACCGCAUGGUUCAAAAGUGAAAGACGGUCUUGCUGUCACUUAUAGAUGGAUCCGCGCUGCAUUAGCUAGUUGGUAAGGUAACGGCUUACCAAGGCAACGAUGCAUAGCCGACCUGAGAGGGUGAUCGGCCACACUGGAACUGAGACACGGUCCAGACUCCUACGGGAGGCAGCAGUAGGGAAUCUUCCGCAAUGGGCGAAAGCCUGACGGAGCAACGCCGCGUGAGUGAUGAAGGUCUUCGGAUCGUAAAACUCUGUUAUUAGGGAAGAACAUAUGUGUAAGUAACUGUGCACAUCUUGACGGUACCUAAUCAGAAAGCCACGGCUAACUACGUG